UAAUCUUUAUUACACGGCACUCUAGAAUGCUUGAUUUCUGAUUGGCCGGUGGUGACACUCCGAGGAUUGUUUAUCACAGAUACAAAAACAUAGAUUCAUUCAUAUACUGCAAAUCAUCUUGACAAGUGCAAUUAAAUACUAUAAAAUAAACUCAAUGUAAAUAUGCAAAAUUUAUAACAUAUUUAUGAUUGAACCAAAUGCAUGUAUAUCUUGUUUGAACUUGAGUGCACUCUAAAAAUGGCUGGGUUAUUUUUGACCCAUAAUGGGUAAAUAUAGGACAGAACACAUGCUGGGUUAAAAAUGACCCAAUGUUGGGUUGUUGUUAUGCAUCCAUGGGGUAUAAUAACCCAGCAGUUGGGUUAAAAUAACCCAGCAUUGGGUCAAUUUUUAACCCAGCAUGUGUUCUGUCCAAUAUUUACCCAUUAUGGGUCAAAAAUAACCCAGCCAUUUUUAGAGUGUGCAUUUUGGCUUUAACCCCCAGGAAAUGUUUUUUUUCCUUGCGGAUGGUUAGUAUUUCUCAAAGCCGAAGUAUGGUCAAUUUUUUGUGAACGUACCGCAGUUUUCGUUAUCUCAAAAGUGCGUGAGUACUGUACGCACAACGGUGGAUUUUUAAAACCCCACGUACAUUGUACACGUUUGUCAGGUAUGCGCCUACAGGAGUCUAUAGCGUUAAACAUAUGUGCACACGUACAAGUCAAAUAAACUAUACUUUGCAAGGCAGUGUGUUCGACCGUGCGCGUAUGUUUACGUACAACAAACAGACUGUACGCCAAGCUUUACAAAUUAACUAAAAACGUGUAUUAAAUCAACAUUUUGUGCACACAUAUUUACUCAUGUGGCAAGUAGCUUUGUAAAUGUGAUAGUGUACAGCCAGCUUGUUUAUCACAGAAUAAAUCCCAAAAGGUUGAUCAGGAGGACCCCGACGCAGGGAAUGUUAGUAAGUAGGGACCGAUAAAUCAGCCAAUGAAUUACUAUGAAAUGCUGCUACAUCCAAAACCCAGAGGGCGCUCUCGUGCAGAAACUCAAAAUAUGGGCCAUUUACCUAUCUCACGGCAAGUCGUGUUAUGGUCACGAAAACUUUUAUUCAUUUAUUUGUGUUACUGACACGAAUGUCUUUUUGGGCUUCCCAGCACGAAUUUCUAUCAAUGGUUUUUCGUGUCUGUGCCACGACUUUUUUUAUUGUGUCAUUUAUAUUUUUUUCUCAUCGUUUUUUUCCUAUUUUUAAAUCCUUGUCGCUUGGGGUUUGCUUUAGGAUUUAAUUUUAUGCAUUGGUUUCAACAUGUUUUUCUUCCGCUUUUAAAACCAUAGACUGUAAAAAAUAUGGACGUAUUGUCCGUGACAUCACCCAUUGGUUUAUGAAGAUUGUUGCCUGCCAUCGCCAUCUUGGCCACAGGUCACAGCAAAUCACUCGCGGAUAACUGAAAAUGGGUAAAGAGGCGGGACAUGGGUGAAGCUGAGCUGGAUGGUUGUUGAAACUACACCCACCUAGCCACACCCUUAAUUAUGCAGAACUUUAAGGCUUAAUAUAAUUUAAUAUAAUGAGUUACAAAAAAUUCACCCCCUCACAGUUGUCAUGAAGGGCAAAAUUAGCUCUAUAGACCAAAAACACUUUAUGUACCAGGCUGUAUUAUUUUCUGCAGUAAAGUUGAGCAUUUUAACAUGGGAGUCUAUGGGAAUUGACUCCCUUUUGGAGCCAGCCUCAAGCGGCCAGUCGAUGAAUUGCAGUUUAAGUCACUUCCGUAUUAGCUUCAUCAGAGAGAUCAGAAGGUUGCCCCUUGUUUAAAACAUUUUCGCCUGAAGUUGGGGUUAGAGUUGGGGUUAGGAAGUUGCAGAAAGUGAUUCUAACCCAAACCCCAAGCGACAACAAUGGUCAAAAAAUAGGAAAAACAAUGAGAAAACAAAAUAUAAAAUGACAUGAUAAAGAAAAAAACAUUGAUAGAAAUUUGUGCUGGGAAGCAUGAAAAAGUCACUGGGGCAGUUCCCUUUAAAAAGCUUCUAAUAGGUUACAUUUAGAAACAGAUAUUUAUCAGUUGACCUAGCAAGCAAAAACUGGCUAACUAAUAGAUCACAUAUAGUCUGAAUAUGAGUAAACCACUUUUUUGGCCAUUUUUGCCAAAAUAAGUUGGAGAAGUAGGCCUAUACUAUAUUCCAUCAUGUAAGCAUAGUGUUCAAGGUGUUUGCUUUCAUUUCUUUUACUUGUUCUAAACAUAUACGCAUCAUCAAUUCUUGGGCUGUGGUUAGACGUCUAUUACUUUCACUGACAGCCCAAAUGUUGCCAUGUUUCAGCCAAAAUCUUGCUGGGUAUAUACCUCUGAGGUACUAAUAUGAACUAUUCUGGUGCAAAGGUAUACUUUUUAAAAGGGUUCCACCCCAGUGACAGCUAGGGACUGUUUUUCUUUACCAUUUUUCUUAUUUUAAAUCUUUUUUAUUAGAAUUUAACAAGACUGUACAUAGUUACACAUUCAAUGAAAAAUAAGAGAUCACAAAUUGUCUCAUCAUAAACCCCUUUUAAAACCCUCCCAUCCCGAAUUAUACAAGCAAUAUGAAGGCAACAACAAAAUAAUAAUAAUAAUGAUAAUAAUAAUAAUAAUAAUAAAUAAAUAAAUAUAAAAAAGGAGAUAAAAUAAAUAAUAAUAAACAAAUCGCUAGACAUAAAUAACUAUAUGGAAAUAAACAUUCCUCUCUCUAGUCUCUGUAUUUCCUCUUACCAAUAAAAGUCAAAGUCAGUUAUUGUGUAUUAGCACUAGUAUCCGGAGAACAGAGUAAACCUUUUAUGUGCCCUAAUACAGGUUUUCAAGUCUUGAAAGCAAAAAUCUUAGCUUCUCAAGCUUUAUACAGCUAAAGAUUUCUUGAAUCCACCUAUCAUGCGAUGGAGGGGUGACACGUUUCCAUUUAAGAAGAAUGGCUCGUCUGGCUAAAACAGUAGUGAAGGCGAUAACCUGGCGAGAUGAGUGAGUCAGGUCGGGACUUUACCUUUUUUCUGACAGUGUAUCAGAAGUCUCACGAGGAUUUGUACAUAAGUUGGCUAAUUCGUAUUAAUUCAUACGACCACAUUCAUACGCUUUUGUACAAUUUGCCUUGACCCCUGUGACGUUGGGGUUAUGUGCAGGGUUAAGGGUUUGGAUGAAUUCAUACGAAUUAGCCAACUUGUAAGAUAUGUAAAAGAGAUCAGGCUGUGCAUUUUGGUUUAUUUUGUCCUAAUAAAGAAAAAACUCCACACACAUUAACAAAAUUAUAUUUUGUCAGUGAGUAGGCUUGGUUAAGAUCACUUUGCCCUAACUAAUGUUAACAUAAACAACUUUUGAUUGUAUAAUGUUUAUAUUAUAUAGUAAAAAAAAUGAUAUGCUAUCUAACUAAUGCUAACGAAGGAAACUUUAAUGUAAAGUGUUACCACAUUUAUGAAUCUUCUAAUAAUGUAUAACAACUAUGAGCAUGUCUGUUAAACAGCAGCUAACACUCCUCUGCCUUAAUUCACGUUUAUUU